GUGCCUCCCAGUAGCCCACUUUUCAGGGCCACCCAACAUUUUGGUAUCUUUAGUAAUGGUGGAGAUGUUUUAUACCUUCCCUGAAGAGGUUAUGGAGAAGAUAAUAUCAGAACCAUGACAUCUGUGUGAACUGUACAGUUUCCAGACAGAGUGGGAGAAGGUGUGUUCGGAAAUCAAACACUCCACAAGGCAGGUUGGAACACCCUGAGUUUCCUGAAGCUGUGGUGAGACUUCCCCAGAGCUAUCAGCAACCAAGAAAAGGACUGAUCAGCAAGAGGAUCCAAAGCGCACCAAUCAAGCAACCCCAAGAGAUUUUAAAAAUCCCUGGGUGGGACACACCCGUGGUCUUUCGAGGGUAUCUCGUGUCUGGAGAAACACCUUGUUACACGGUAGUGUUACAGUUACCUCUGGCUUUUCCCGCAGGCCCUAGGCUUGCCCUGAGACCUCAUCUUCUGUUGUUCUAAACAUGCACUUUUUUUUUUUUUGUAAGUCAUCAGCCUCCUAUUAAUUUCAUUUUGCCUGUUUACUACAACAGUGAUUUCAGGUUUGAACUGUGAAAACUGUUGUGUUGAUUUCAGACCAGAGGAAGAGAACAAUUUCCAUCAUCCAUCCUUUUUUUCUCCACCUCUUCCAAAUGGUGUUAUAUAAUUGUUUUCUUUUUCCUUCUUCUUUCAUGGUCAGACAAAGAUUUACUAUAAAAACAUCAGUUUACCCAAGAAAGCAUGUUCUCUUUUCCACUACUUGAAUGAGGAUGGUUAUUGCUCUCCAUGGGGCUCAGAAUUAGAAUCAGAUUGGCCAUGUGGCAGAAAGCUGGACAUAUGUGAGAGCCGAACACCCACACACCCCUGCUUUUUGUGGUAGGAUGGCUCAUGCUCCUCUUUUCUCAAAGCAUUUUCACCUCUUUCUCCUUGUAAUUGUAUAUCCUAUUAUUUGUCCAGCACAAAUACAAUUAAAAUCUAAAUCUCAGAA